UGAUCUGGACAUUAAAUUUUGAUUUCUUCAUCCUUCCUUCCUUUCCUGUGGCAAUACAGUACUUGAGGAUUUGGCAAUCAGGUGUUUUUUUUAUUUUUAAAAAUGUGGAAUUCUUCCUGAAAGUCUUGACACAUUGCCAGUUCUCUUUUCAACCUUUGGAAUUGCUAACCUUCAGGGCUCCCUGUCAAAAACAUCCCUGUGAGAUGACAAAGGGAGGAACUUUGACCCCUCCCUCCCUUAGCAUCCCCCAAUAUCUCAUGAUUCAUCGUAAAUCCGUUAGGGUUCGAGGGAGAACUUCUUCUCCUAUGAGCAAGGGGCACGCAGCAGGCCUCGUCCCUGAAAAUAGAUGCCGUUUCUGCUGCCCCCUCCUCCUUCCUGCCCAAAUAUUCCUGUGCCAUGAAUUAUUCAGCCGGCCUCUAAUAGAAUCUCAAGCCCUGGGUGGCUCAGGAGCUCUUGGCAAGAUGCAGGCGGGAUUGAGUCGAGUCAGCCCUUGUCGCAUUCAAAUGCAUCCAAACCGCUCACUCGCAGGGAGACUUUUCUUAGCUCCAACAACAAUUAGGUCUCUCUGUCACCCCCAAAAGUGUGAUAUAUUUAGCUGAUCGAUGCCUCUUUUGGAAGGGCACCCCCCUGCCCCAGCAGGCAGAGCUGACGGAUUUACAUCCCCGAGAUGUUUUUCUCCUUCAUGACCCUUGACAACAACAACAGCCACCCCCUUUCCAAAGCAAAUACGUCGGGGGUGUAUUUGUGUGGCUGUCUUGGCCGAGGUGACUGAGUGCCCUAUUUCUAAUGGUUUUGAAGAUGCACCGGUUUCCUCAUUCUAUGUGAAAAACAAAACCAGACUGGCCUGUGACUCUCCCCUGGGCCCUAGCAAUGGGAUCAGGUCCAUCACGGCACCUGUAGGCUGGCGAGCUUGCAGGGUGGAGACCGGCCCCUGUGGCGCAAUCGACUCUGCCGACUUCCCGUCUCCCAGCAUUUGCCAUCAGAGGCAGCUGCCUCACUCUGCCUCAAGGUAGGGCCGGCCCCUGCUUUUGGAAGACACAGCAGCGCAGUUAGCCACAAUGGCUACGAAAGCCCAUCUGGGGUUUCUCAGCUGCUGUUCUAGCCGUGCAGGGGGUUGCAAAUCUAUGGUUCUACCUGCAUUGUCAUAAGCCGUGUGGCCCUGUUGCGAUUGGGACUGGGUUGGCAAGCCCUGACAUGGGAGGAGGAAGAAAUGGGGUUCUGAUUGGUAGGAACCAGGCAGUGCCAUAACUGGGGGGGCGUCUAGCUGGGUUUGGUGUUUUUUUGCCCCAGGUGAAUCCUCCAUUGAGGCUCCCAGCCUGUGUGUGUGUGUGUACACAAAUGCAUGUGAGCUGUGUGUGCCUAACUUAGUUUUUGACCUGGGUGAAAUAAAGCCUAGUUUUGCCCCUGAGCUAGCUACUUCCUCCACUGAUAGAUGUGGGGAUGUUCAGGGUGGCAAGAGAGGAUAUAUUGUUUAUUAAUAUUCUUCCUAACUUGCGAUAACAAGUUCCUUUACUUAGCAGAAUUUAUAUUUCCCCUUUUUACAAGCACAGCAGAUAGCUGGUUGCAGGCUCGUGUGGGCCUCUCACUAUUAUACAAUUCAGUCUGUCUCAGAUUGAAUUGUACGUUCCUGGUAAAUUCCCUUGAAUCCCUCUCAAAAGAAUAAAGACACCACAAUCUUUUUCAAAGUCAGUAAAAGAGGUUUACUCACAUCAGUUCACAGUUGGAUUCCUGAAGGCAGCCUUAGUUACAAAUAUGUACAUGUGGAUCUACCCCAUAUGGGGAAUAAUCCCAGUUACUGCAGGCUAGCAGUCCAGCAGUUCACACGAUGAAAGGAAGAUGGAAGAGGAGGAGGUGUGCUGCGUGACUCGUCCUUUUGUUACCUGGACAGGUUAGGUCACGCCCACCUUCUAUCACAUGUAAAAGGAAGGAUGCUCCAGCCAGGAGGAAAAGGAAGCUUUGACUGGCUGGACCAAACAUUCCCUUGCAUGUCCUCUCUAGCAUUACAAGGAAUACUGUACUUGACUGCCUCUCAUGAAUCACAUCCCACAAUAGGAACAGAUCCAGCCACCUUCGCAGUUCCCAUACUCUCGCAAAGUGAGUGAGUCUUAUGAUUGAGUACACCGGACCUCAUUUUAUUUAUUUAUUUAUGUUGCAAUACAUACACAUUUUCACAUUUCAUUAUGUACCAACAUUUAUCCAUUUCUUAUUUCUUGCCCUGUGUCUUCCCUUGACCCGUGCGUGACUUCCUUGUUAUUAUUUUGUAACUUUAUUAUUGAGAUUGUAAUUUUGUAUCUUAAUAAUUAAACAUUCAAUCUUAUAUAUCUGCUUAACUUAACUUUGUGAAAUCAGUCUAUACAUAUCAAUACAUUCUUGUUGGAGCAUCUUUUUGGUCAUGUUUUCUUCUACACAUUUCCAUUCCUGUUUGAGAUUUUGAUUAGAUUGCAUUCUAAUUGUUGCCGUCAUUUUUGUUAAUUCAAUCAUUUCAAAAAAUUUAUAUUUCCAAUCUUUCAAUGUUGGUACUUCUUCUGAUUUCCAAUUUUUUGCAAUCAAUAACCUUGCGGCAGCUGUUGCAUGUAAAAAGAUUUUCUUCAUGUCUUUGGGGAUGUCAUCUUUAGAAGAACAUUAGAAGAGGCUGCUGGAUCAGGCCAGUGGCCCAUUCAGUCCAGCAUCCUGUUCUCCCAGUGGCCGACCAGGUGCCUUAGGAAAACUAGCAAGCAGGACCCAAGCACAAGAGCAAUACAGUGGUACCUCGGGUUAAGUACUUAAUUCGUUCUGGAGGUCCGUUCUUAACCUGAAACUGUUCUUAACCUGAAGCACCACUUUAGCUAAUGGGGCCUCCCGCUGCCAGAGCACGAUUUCUGUUCUCAUCCUGAAGCAAAGUUCUUAACCGAGGUACUAUUUCUGAGCUAGCAGAGUCUGUAACCUGAAGCAUAUGUAACCUGAAGCGUAUGUAACACGAGGUACCACUGUACUCUCCCUCCCUGAGUUUUCCAGCAAGCGUUGCUGCCUCUAAUUGUGGAGGCAGAGCAGAGGCAUUGUUCUCUAAAGCUUGGCAGACAGAGCAUGGAAACAGUUAGGACGUCCAUUGCUUCCCUCCAAUUUGGAAUGUCUUGCCUGAUUCCUGAACUCUUCUGCCAUGUGCACCAAUAAGUAUCACUUCGCCCUUGUUCUCUUAAGAAAUAAAGGGCUUUUCUGAAGCGACUUACAGCUCAGCUGAGAUGAUGCAACGAUCCAGUAAUAUGAGGAAUCCUUCAAAAGUAGCAGUGCUGGUGGCACCCCUAAAGACCUGUGCUUGCAGUGCAGGGAUGGAGCACUUGUUUGUUGGUUUGUUGCAUUUCUUCCCCACCUUUUCCUCCAAGGAGCUCCAGGUGGUUUACACCGUUAUCCUUCCUCCUCAUCUAAUCCUCACAACGACCCUGUGAGGGAGAUUAGGCUGAGAGGCAGCGAAGGCCCUGUGGCCACCCAGUGAGCUUUGUGACUGAGUGGGGAAUUUGAACCCUGGCCUCCCAGGUCCUUGUCUGACCCAGUAAUAACCACUGCACCACACUGCCUCUUUUAGCUCCUCUUUCUACCUGUGUUGGGUGUGAGGCAGGGCAUCUAUGGUUGGAGGCAGGGAAUCACAGGUGCAGAGAGCGCUGUUGCUUUCAGGUCCUGUUUUCAGGAUUCCCUUUGGGGAGAUCUGAAUCGCCACUGUGAGAACAGGAUGCUGUGAUGGCCUGGGACUCUGGCUUGGGCUCGGAGCCAGAGGAGUCUCAGUCCGCACCAGAUCCUCUGCCUCAGGCAUCAUCUGAACCAAGUCUGGGGCCUGAUUCUGAAGAGCCCCAGUCUGCACAGGUUCCCCUGCAACAAGCACCAGCUGGGCCGAGUCAGGGGCCUGAGCCUGCCCUGGCUCCAGAUGCAGGGAUGACCUUGUUGCCUUCAGCUGGGCCAUCACUUACUGCUGCUCCACUACCGGUUGGGUCAGGGGAGGCUGAGGCGGCCUCUGGGUCUAGUAACCCACCGACGUCUCCCGAGCUGCAGAGACUCAGGUCUGAGAGAAGGAGAGACCUGAGUACUCGCAGGAGGAGUGCUCGCCUUCGGGCGAGACAGGGAGGUGAGUCGCCGGGGAACAGGACUGGCCAUUACCCUGGCAGAGAUAAAAGGCUGCUGGACCCCAGCCCAGGUUGCUGUUGGCCAGAACCUGCCUGUGAUCCUGUGCCUGACCUAGCCUGGUUUCCUGCCUUGGCCCUGUCGGACUGACUCCUCGCAGAACCCUUGGAUUCGGGACCGGACCUGGACUGCGUUACCCGGGUUACCCCCGGGCCCAACACAGUUGCAGGACUUGAUGUUCCACUGGCCUUAUCCAUCUCCUGACUGGACACUGAACCUGCGCUUUUGUUCUGGUGUGGCAUGAUGAAGCUGCGCAUGGAAGUGCAAGCAGCAUUGAAAUGAUGAGCUCAAUUCAGCCACCAGCAUCUGAGUGUGAACCUGCAAGUUGCCCUGUUCAACAUCCACCAAAUCAAAAUGAGGUUAUCGACUUUUGCUCAAAACCCUUUGGCAACCAGCCCACAAUUCUGGCUUUCACCCAAGUCAGAGUCUGGCAAUGCUCCAUAGAGUCUGCAACAUGUUGUUGUGGGCCCCAC